rnacentral:lncRNA from 1 species
CUUUAAUGAAAAACAAAAUUCCAAAUGUAAGAGUCACCAGUAUUUCCAUGAGAUUCUCUCUCUGUUGAAAAAAAAAUCUAAGGAAGAGAGUCUCCUGCAUUCCUGAAGGAUUACGUGUGGUCUUCCUAAUUCAAGAAAGAUGAAAGAGUGGCAGCUGAAUGUCUGAAAAGGGCAGAAUGGAUUUUUGUCAGAGGCAACACAUCCUAUUCUUUAUAUGGCCAUUUAUUUUGUAGUGAUAUUUCAUCUUAUUGUAGGUUCUUCAUUAAUGGAAAUGUUGAUUCAGGUUUUAUCUCCACAACGUUUUCAGGACCGUAAGAUCUGGUGUACAAUGGCCACAAGGGGACUCCUGGGCAAAAGAAAACAGUUCAUUCCUCUAAAAAUGGACAGAGCAAUAAGACUGAACAGUGAAGAAGGAAACUGCCAGAAAGAUGAAUUCCAAGAGUGUGAAGUAUGCCUCUUGAAUCUACUCACUAGAACAUUAGAAGUCCUUUGGAGAAAUCAAGAAGACAUUAGUUUCAGAGAAACUGCUUUUCUUGUUGGUUACUGGCCACUGUGUCUGGCCUGAAGCAGAAGGAGCCUUGGGACUGCUGUUUUAGAGAUGGAGGAUAGACUGCAAGCCAGAGAUUACACUGAAGAGAAACGUCUUCUCAGAAAUGUAUCGAACAAGGAACAUAGAAUAGUCAAGAGUACCACCUGUUUUUAAAUUUCAGAAAGCCAAAACCACAAGCAAUAAGCAGGAUACAAUUAUGAAGAAGAGACACAGCUGAUUGUACUUUAUAUUUUAAAAACAGAAUUUCAGAAUUAGGAGAAUAAACUCAAUAUUUGCCUGAGUCUGAGGUUAAAU